rnacentral:rRNA from 1 species
AUGGUGAGGAAGAGGAAGGAGCUGCUGUCGUCGGCGCCAUGGCGGACGGGGGAGGCGGAGGAGGACGACGAGGCGUCCAGGAUGAGCCGCGAGGGGAAGGUCACCGUCACCAGCAACCCCGGGGAGACGCCCACCAUGAACAUGCCACGCAGCAAGCGCCCGGACCUCGACCUCGCCGUCGACGACUUCGAGGAGGACGAGAUCGACCCCGAGCUGCGCUACUCCUUCCAGCGCAACAGCAGGUUCCUGCGGAGAGUUUUCACGGUGGACACACUUGUCAAGCCUCUUCCUCCUGUGAUGGCAUACAGUGUCUCCCGUAACGUGAACUUUUUCUUCAAGAUCUUCACGCAGUUCUGGAUGAAGAAGGAAUUGCCAAUGCACAGAGAUCCCUUGGACUGGGAAGCGAGGAUAGCUCCCGGCGGUUUCGCUGAUCACCGACGUGCCAUGGAACAAGUUGCUGCGCUAGGCUCUGGAGGACCUGUUUAUGAUUCUGAAUACGGGUGUGGUCUGGCUAGUUUCCAGGACUUGUUUAUGCUUUAUAAGGCGGGUGUGGUCUGUCUAAUUUUGAAGUUUCAUGCAUUUUCCACUAGUAAAAAUGGUUGCAUUAUAUGCAGAUCUUUGUUCUCAGAAGUCUUUUGUUUUCGUCCAAAUUUGUAA